UGCUCGUAAAUCGAGUGUCUUAAUUUACGCCCGGCCAUUGGCAAGGUUUAGGCUUAUUGAUAGGCCGUUGUCGCCUUGAGAUAUAGCUCGGCAAUUUGUAGCUGAAUUACGGAUAAUCAAUUAGUAGUUUAGAAGAAAAAUGGUACUUCCACGUGGAAAUUUGGGGUGUUGUUCCGGAAGCCGCCGGAGACUGCCGUAAUCCGGUGCAAUCCAGUUCGCAAACUUUGUUCCCCCGUGUUUGCUUUGCGGUUCACGCGUUUCCACUCAUCGUUUAAUGUGACAACCUUUGAGCGGUGCACCGAUCCAAAACACCUAACACAUCACGCUGCAUUAACCAUGGAGUCUUUACGAUUACAUUUGGGACAUUUGCGAUUCUACAGCCGCAGUGACAUUCCGCUAAAAGGGUAGCUGAGAAAGACACUAACUAUCAAGUGUUGAUGUCUCAAAGUGUUUGGAGGCGGAUUUCAGGUAACUUGGUGUUAAAGCAAGAUGAAAAUCUGUUUACAAAGACAAACUACUCCUAUUUAAUACGCUAUCAUUAUUACUCCGGGUGUUAUUUUUAAUUUCUAA